UGAGGAAUAUUGGUCAAUGGGCGGAAGCCUGAACCAGCCAAGUCGCGUGAGGGAAGACGGUCCUAUGGAUUGUAAACCUCUUUUGCAGGGGAGCAAGACGCGGUACGUGUACCGUGCUGGAGAGUACCCUGAGAAAAAGGCAUCGGCUAACUCCGUGCCAGCAGCCGCGGUAAUACGGAGGAUGCGAGCGUUAUCCGGAUUUAUUAGGUUUAAACGGGUGCGUAGGCGGACUGGUAAGUCAGCGGUAAAAAUUGCGGUGCUCAACGCCGUAGUGCCGUUGAAACUGCCGGUCUUGAGUGAGCGAGAAGUAUGCGGAAUGCGUGGUGUAGCGGUGAAAUGCAUAGAUAUCACGCAGAACUCCGAUUGCGAAGGCAGCAUACCGGCGCUCAACUGACGCUGAGGCACAAAGCGUGGGGGGAUCGAACAGGAUUAGAUACC
rnacentral:rRNA from 1 species